AUUUUAACAGCUCUCUGUAUAAUAAUGACAGCUCUAUCAAGUGUCCGGUCUGAUGUAGUGUUGACUGAGUCCGGAGCAGGAGUUGCAAAGCCUGGAGGGUCCCAUAAACUGUCCUGUAAAGCCUCUGGAUUCACAUUCAGCAGCUACUCCAUGGGCUGGGUUCGACAAGCUCCUGGAAAGGGUCUGGAAUGGGUGGCUUACAUUAGCUAUGCUGGUAGUAGUACAAGCUAUGCCCCGUCUGUCCAGGGAAGAUUCACCAUCUCCAGAGACAAUUCCAACAGCAUGCUGUAUUUACAAAUGAACAGCCUGAAGACUGAAGACUCUGCCCUGUAUUACUGUGCUCGAGGCUCACAGUGAUGCAAUCAAACCAAGCAGCCGUACAAAAACCCCUCUCUUCAGGACUGCAGCACUGAUCACUCACAGCUUCUGCUUUCUUUUUCAUGGUUGAGUUGUGGCAGAU